CCUCGACGGUGACGGCUUGAGGUGGUGGGGUGAAUCGAGGAUGGAGGCUAGCGGAAGAAGAUGGAAGGUCUAGCAGAAGAAGAUGAUGGAGGCUGGGUUGUCGCCGGCGGUGGCUAGGGUCGCCGACAAUGGCAUCUGGUCGAACGGUGUCGGAGACGACAGCUGGAAUGACGACUGUGAUAACUUCAUGAGGCUUUUCUGAGCGAGAGAAAAAGAUGAUCCCUUUAGGGUUUCUGUUUUGAAAAAAAAAGAAGUUGGGUUUGGGCUUGCAGACCCCUCUUUAUUCCAUACACCCCUGCUUUCAAUCUUCGCACACCUCCUUGUUUUAUGUUUUGGAUCUAUUUGGGUUUACACAGCGCUCCUCUUUAUUUACUGCA